rnacentral:snoRNA from 1 species
UCAUCAGUGAGGUUAAUCCUUGCCUGUUCCUCCUCAGGGAGAAACAGCACGUGAUGAAUGGGAGGAGGCUGAUUGUGUGAUUACAGCAGUUCCUUUCCCCUGGGGAAACGACGCACCUCAGGGGGCCCUUCUGAU